rnacentral:rRNA from 1 species
UACGUAGGGGGCAAGCGUUGUCCGGAUUUAUUGGGCGUAAAGAGCGUGUAGGCGGCCUGAAAGGUCAGCUGUGAAAACUCGAGGCUCAACCUCGAGACGUCGGUUGAAACCAUCUGGCUAGAGUCCGGAAGAGGAGUGUGGAAUUCCCGGUGUAGCGGUGAAAUGCGCAGAUAUCGGGAAGAACACCCGUGGCGAAGGCGGCACUCUGGGACGGUACUGACGCUGAGACGCGAAAGCCAGGGGAGCAAACGGG